UAGCUUAGUUGGUAGUGCGUCUGCCUUGUAAGCGCUAGGCCGCGGGUUCAAUUCCCGC
rfam:Asian citrus Psyllid, Diaphorina citri - Florida Strain, whole genome shotgun sequence.